CAUAGUCUUCUCUGUCCACGACUACAAUACCCUGUCCACAUGAUGAUACAAUUAUUGUCAUUAUCCAGGUCACAGAUUGGUGGAACGGUUUUUAAAGUCUGACGCAACUAAAGCUGUAAAGGUUUCCAAGAAAUGACUAUUUGGGCAGUCAUACACCAUCUGUGCUGCUGUAAGGAGUAAAGGAAAAACUAAUUAUUUUUAGAAAUCAAGGAUUGUCACCAACAAAACCAAAAAUCUUUAGAAAUAAUAGGUUUCCUAUAUAAUAUUUUUACAAAUCGAUCAUCAAAAUGGUUUCUCUCCAGUGUUUUAAGAUGUGUUUGAUUUAACAAGAUGUGAAAAACGUUUCCCACAUUCUACACAUGAUUACGCCUUUUCUCUAUUGUGACUUCUUUCGUGUAUAUUUUCCUUUUUUUUAAUUACUUCCCACAUUCCAAACAACACGUUUCUUUCUCUAAGUAAAUGAGUUAAUAAAAUUGUUUUUUUUUGUGAAAUGU